GAUCGGCUGGCGCGGCGGUGACGUCGCGUUCGGGCCGCGAUUCACGUCCGACGGCUACGAGGACGACUGGUUCGAGAUCGUCGACGACCC
rnacentral:tRNA from 1 species